rnacentral:rRNA from 1 species
UACGUAGGGUGCAAGCGUUAAUCGGAAUUACUGGGCGUAAAGCGUGCGCAGGCGGUUAUGCAAGACCGAUGUGAAAUCCCCCGGGGCUCAACCUGGGAAUUGCAUUAGUGACUGCAUGGCUAGAGUGUGUCAGAGGGGGGGUAGAAUUCCACGUGUAGCAGUGAAAUGCGUAGAUAUGUGGAGGAAUACCGAUGGCGAAGGCAGCCCCCCUGGGAUAACACUGACGCUCAGGCACGAAAAGCGUGGGGAGCAAACAGG